rnacentral:rRNA from 1 species
AUGGCAUGCAUUUUCAUCACAUUCGGCUCGUUUUCCUUCAAUGGGCCUGGCCAUUUGUUAGUUAUAGCUGCUGCUCAAAGAAGUGGACUUUGCUUUACAAGGCCUGGUGAGUGUGAGGGCGAGAGAGACAGGCGCCGCCGCCUUCUCGCCGACGCGUCGAUCGGACGCCGCCGCCGCCAUGCCAGCAACCACUGCUUGCAGGUCAGCCUGUUCGACGGAAUGUCCGAACUAGCUUCGACCCCCUGCAGUUCCAAGAGCACACGACGCACCACCAAUGGUGUUGAUAGGGUCAGCAGCCUUCCCGACGAGCUGCUCCACCACAUGAUGUCCUUCCUGCCCAUGCCGGAGGUCGUGCGCACAAGUCUGCUCUCGACGAGGUGGCGCAAUCUCUGGGCCUCUACGCCAUACAUCCGCAUCAACCACCAUGACUUUAAGGAUUACGGCAAGCUGAAGAAGUUCGGGGACCACCUGCUACUCUUGCGGGACGGUGCUACUUCCUUGGAUGAAGCCCGGAUCCUUGCCAACAAUGUUGAUACUUUCACGUGUUGUGAGUGGGUUCGUCAUGCCAUCAUGCAAAAAGCUCGUCACCUUCAUGUUUCUGGAUAUGCCCUUUUGGAUAGCACAGCCAUGUUUCCUGCUCAGCACCUCAAAACAAUCAGGCUCCGAUCUCUCGUCUUGAGAGGGGGGUUCGUUAGGCUGCUGAACUGCGAGUGCCCAGUUCUUGAACAUUUAGAGAUAGAGCAGAGCGAUUUGUGGGACCUGAAGGAGAUCUCAUCGUGGUCACUCAAGGUUCUUCAUCUCAUUCGCUGCCUUAUCAUCAAGGGUCUCGUAAUUUGUGCUAGCAACCUUACUCAUCUCUCUAUCGAUGAACAAUCAUGUCAUUCGGGCGCUGUAGUAACUAGGGAUCUGUCUUCUCUAGUAACAGCUUCGAUUAGACUGAGGUAUGACUACUAUCAUACUUCAGGCGGCUCAAUACUGGAUUAUCGUCUACUUGAUGGACUCUCAAAUGCCACAACCUUGGAGUUGCAUGCGCCCUUACCUGAGCUCACAUUUGAGAGAGAUUUGCUGACAUGCCUGGUGUUUAGCAACCUGACAAGUCUGGUGCUGGGUGAUUGGUGCAUGGCUGCUGACUUGUACCCGCUGCGUCGCAUUCUACAUCGCUCCCCCAAGCUGAAGGAGCUAAGUAUAAAGCUUGAAAUGGAGGAAUGUAGGAGCUGUAAGAAAUCCGAAUCUGCUUUGCCGCUAGCAAGGGGAGCACUGCCGUCGGGCUCAGGAAGCAGCCACCCUUUCAUCGAGACGAUCAUUAUCCACUGCCAGAAGAAAGAUUCCAGGGGCGAUGCUUUGCUGCAGGCGUUGAAACUGAUUGCCGGCAAUGCGAAAAUCAGCAUCGAACGUCGCUGA